UACGUAGGGGGCAAGCGUUGUCCGGAUUUAUUGGGCGUAAAGAGCGUGUAGGCGGCCCGGAAGGUCAGCUGUGAAAACUCGAGGCUCAACCUCGAGACGUCGGUUGAAACCACCAGGCUAGAGUCCGGAAGAGGAGUGUGGAAUUCCCGGUGUAGCGGUGAAAUGCGCAGAUAUCGGGAAGAACACCCGUGGCGAAGGCGGCACUCUGGGACGGUACUGACGCUGAGACGCGAAAGCGUGGGGAGCAAACGGG
rnacentral:rRNA from 1 species